rnacentral:rRNA from 1 species
UACGUAGGGGGCUAGCGUUGCUCGGAAUUACUGGGCGUAAAGCGCGCGCAGGCGGUUUGUUAAGUCGGGGGUGAAAUCCUGGAGCUCAACUCCAGAACUGCCUUCGAUACUGGCGAUCUCGAGUUCGGGAGAGGUGAGUGGAACUGCGAGUGUAGAGGUGAAAUUCGUAGAUAUUCGCAAGAACACCAGUGGCGAAGGCGGCUCACUGGCCCGAUACUGACGCUGAGGUGCGAAAGCGUGGGGAGCAAACAGG